rnacentral:rRNA from 1 species
AUUUUGAACCGCAUGGUUCAAAAGUGAAAGACGGUCUUGCUGUCACUUAUAGAUGGAUCCGCGCUGCAUUAGCUAGUUGGUAAGGUAACGGCUUACCAAGGCAACGAUGCAUAGCCGACCUGAGAGGGUGAUCGGCCACACUGGAACUGAGACACGGUCCAGACUCCUACGGGAGGCAGCAGUAGGGAAUCUUCCGCAAUGGGCGAAAGCCUGACGGAGCAACGCCGCGUGAGUGAUGAAGGUCUUCGGAUCGUAAAACUCUGUUAUUAGGGAAGAACAUAUGUGUAAGUAACUGUGCACAUCUUGACGGUACCUAAUCAGAAAGCCACGGCUAACUACGUGCCAGCAGCCGCGGUAAUACGUAGGUGGCAAGCGUUAUCCGGAAUUAUUGGGCGUAAAGCGCGCGUAGGCGGUUUCUUAAGUCUGAUGUGAAAGCCCACGGCUCAACCGUGGAGGGUCAUUGGAAACUGGGAAACUUGAGUGCAGAAGAGGAAAGUGGAAUUCCAUGUGUAGCGGUGAAAUGCGCAGAGAUAUGGAGGAACACCAGUGGCGAAGGCGACUUUCUGGUCUGUAACUGACGCUGAUGUGCGAAAGCGUGGGGAUCAAACAGGAUUAGAUACCCUGGUAGUCCACGCCGUAAACGAUGAGUGCUAAGUGUUAGGGGGUUUCCGCCCCUUAGUGCUGCAGCUAACGCAUUAAGCACUCCGCCUGGGGAGUACGACCGCAAG